GAGGAAAGUCCGGGCUCCAUAGGGCAGGGCGCUCGUCGAGACUGGCGGCGGAAGUUCGCCAGUCAAGGCGAGGGAGUUGCUCCGGCGAGAUGCUGGGGCAACUUCGGAAAGUGCCACAGAAACCAUACCGCCGUCGGGCUAAGCGGCACUGUGGCUUCCGCUGCCAGCCGCUGCAGUGUUCGCGUUUCCCGGCGGUAAGGGUGAAAUGGUGGGGUAAGAGCCCACCAGCACGACCGCGAGGUCGUGGCUGGGCAAACCCCGCCCGGAGCAAGACCAAAUAGGGGGCGCUAUCAGGUUGCCCGCCGAUGCCCCCGGGUCGGUCGCUUAGAGAAAUGGUCGCCAGCGUCAGGGCUAAAACCUGACGCCACAGAACCCGGCUUA
rnacentral:RNase_P_RNA from 1 species